rnacentral:rRNA from 1 species
UAAUAGUGUAUAUUAAAGUUGUUGCAGUUAAAAAGCUCGUAGUUGAAUGUUGGUGUCGAACGAGCGGUCAGCUUCGGCUGUACUGCUCUCUCGACUCCUUCCUUCUGUGGACUACGUCACACUUUACUGUGUGGCGCUAGGACGCAGAUCGUUUACUGUGAAAAAAUUAGAGUGUUCAAAGCAGGCCGUACGCUUGAAUACAUUAGCAUGGAAUAAUGGAAUAGGACGUCGGGCCUAUUUUGUUGGUUCUAGGACCGUCGUAAUGAUUAAUAGGGACAGUUGGGGCCGUUUAUAUUCCGUAGUCAGAGGUGAAAUUCUUGGAUUUACGGAAGAUAAACUACUGCGAAAGCAUUCGGCAAGGAUGUUUUCGUUA